CACACCAGACGACUGUGUACGAAGUGCGCCUGGCCCCUCCUCCCAAGGGUGAAGAGUUUAGAGGCCUACGCUCCCCCCACAUCCGCACCGGCUCCUCUCCCAGUUCUAGGAGCUUAGAACCGCGACUUCCGGCCUGGACGGAAAUGCGUCUCGCUCCCGCCGUACUACAACUCCCAGGAGCCUCCAAGUCGAGGGACUUCCGGCGCCGCCAUACUGAGGCUUUGGGGUCCUCUGAGGCCUUUGGCAGGAUUGCGGCUCACUCGCCUGUCACCUCCUCCUCUCGCUUUCCCUUUCCCGGCCUCCCUGGCAACCCUUCAGGUGGACACUGGUUACGCAGUUAUCAUAAACACCUACUGGAUGCUGUGCAGUACCUGAAAUGGCCGUGGCUCUGGACAUCUUGCUACAUCACCUUCUAAACGUGUCUCCCCUCACUGGCCUGCUGAGGCUGCUAACUGGGUCUCACGCAUUGGAAACUCCUAAGCCAAGCCCGGAGGAGGAUGUGCCAAAGCUGUUGAUGAUUACACAGUGAGUAACAGCAGCUACCAUUUCAUGAAGCCCUCCAAGGACCUGCCUGGGCUUUUAAAACACCACAGCCCCAUUAAGCAAGUGACCAACUUUUACACAGAUCCACGCUGGGAGAGGCUAAGAAUCUGCAGAAGGGAGCACCUGGGAACCAAACCCUGUUCUUUUAUGCCUUUUAUACCACUUCACAUAGCUACAAUCUUUUCCUUGAAUGUGCCCAAGAGUGUCUCAUCCAGAAGUCACUGCACUUGCUGCCUGCCUGCCCGGUGAUGUCUUUCCUAACAUCUCUGCUUCUCCUUCCCCAUCCAGCUCUCAGGUCAGAUGUCAUCUCGGAGCUAUCUUCCCACCCAGUUCUAAACUAAUAUUGCCCACCCGUGCUUCUCCACUCCUGUAUCUUCCCCAUAUAUAGACUCUACUGUUUCAUUUUUCUUCAUACCAUUGAUUGCCAUCUUUAAGUAUCUGGCUCAUUAAUUUCUCUCUCCAGCCUGUCUAGAAUAGCACUGCUCAGUGGAACAUUCUUUGGAGAAGGGAAUAUUCCAGAUCUGCACUGUCCAACAUAGUAGCCAUUAGCUGCAAGUGACCAGUGAACAUUUGAAAGGCCAGCACAAUUGAGGAACUGAACUGGUAAGUUUGUUUUAGUAGGUUUACAUUUACUCAUCAACACAGGCUAGUAGCUUCUCUGGAAUGAGUGUAAGCCCAGUGAGAGGGGGCCUUUCCACCCUGUUUAUCAUGGUGACCCUUCCCUAUAACAGCACUUGGCAUUUUGGCAGGUGUUCAGGCAGUAUUUGUUGAUACAGCACAGCUUCUAAGUGCUUUGAUGAACAGUGCACCAAGACAUUUGGGCCUUUCAAAGGCUUAUGCUUGUCCAUAUUUCAGAUUUCAGGAAAUCUCAUUGGCACUGAAAUUGUGUCCAUCUGUAAGUUAUGGGAAGAUAGCUGCUGCUGCAAUGUUCCCAUCUUUCACUUGGAAGCCUAAGCAUGUCAUGGGGUAAGAGGACCCUGGUUUAAACCCCCACCUGCUUCUUCCCAGACAGCCCAGGUCAGGGACUUGCCUUCAUGCUCCCACAGCAUGAAUGGGGACGUGGAGUUUCUCUGGGGCUGCUAGCUGGAAUAAUUAUAGGACUUAAGAAAGCGACUUCAUGCACUUCUAGCCUUUUAACCCCUCAAAAGAAGUCAGUGUUUUUACAUACUUAAGUCUUACAUGGCCCUCUAACAUAACCUUCUCCAAAUAGAGCCUGCUCAUUCCUUACCAAUUUAUUCUUAGGUUCCAUUUCAAAAAAGUAUCAAUAACAAAGUCUUUCCUCUCUGUUGAAGUGGUUAUUCCUGCUUUAAGCCACAGGUAUUAAGUUUCUGUAUUUUAUACUCUGUUGCAGCUGCUCAACUCUUAUAACUAUUUCAGAGGAUAAGUUUUUUUUUUAAACACAUUAUCUAAAAAUAGAUAAAACAGGUGUUCGUUAUUACAAGCUACAGAUAUUUUCUCCUUUUCAAUAUUUUCCUCAUUUUGUGCUUUAGUGAGAACAGUGCUGUGUACAGGUUGCAGAAAGGACCCGUUUAACAAAGCACUUAGUGUUCUGUCAUUGAGUAGCUUAUGUUCUUUGGAAACCUAUCUUUUAAUAGGAAGCUAGAAAAUAUUUACUGCCUGGGUUAAUACAGAGAUGCAACUAUUUAUCUACUUUGUUCUUAAGAAAAAGUUGGUUUUAACAUUUCUCUUGGGCCAACUUUACACUUUUCCAGAAAUCUUUCCAUCUUAUUGUUUGUUCAUUCCUGUACUUAACAAAUACUUACUGAGCACCUAUGCUGUGUCAGGAGCUGGUGACGCAGCAGGAAGAUGACAGUCUUCCAUUUUAUGAGCAUAGUUACUUGCAGGACCUCUGAGAGUGGAAGGUCACCCUCCCACCCAAUUUCCUUCUCUGGACACAAUCACAUCCUAUAGUUUCUCUAUUCUCCCAAUGGUAACAAUUGGCAUAUUAAUACCUGGUGUAUGUUUGCAAGUAUAUUU